GGCGUACCAAACCGCCAAGAUGGCGCGGCUCAUAGCAGCCGAUUCCUCCACGGCACCCGAGCUCGCCUAGCUAAUCUAAUCGCCCGCUUUGCGUUGCCGCAAUGUGUCACUGGAAAUGCGUUUUUGUUUGCGUGUUUGCUCGUCAAUGAGCGCUUUAGCCUUCGAUCAGUAGCGGUCGGACAUGCUGACCUCGUGAAACCUGGCUUUGGUGGAAGGAGUGGUGAUCUCGCCAGUCGUGUUUUGAUCGGGAUCCGGCGAGCCAUGUGAACAUUCUUGUUUUCUUUCAUCGCUGGCCGCUGUCUCGUAACACCCUGCAAUGGCAAUUCAAGGAAGCGCGUUCGUGGACUGGAGGAAGCAAAUCCUGAAAUCUCUGCAGGACAGAAACAACGCGCAGUGCAAGCAAUUCGAAGACAUCAUUGUGUUCAGCACGCAACUUUUCGAGCGUGUGGAUUCUCUUCGUGCAAACAAUGUGCAGCUGACUGUGCAGAAGGAACGCUUGCAACAAGAAAACCUGCAGCUCCAGAUGAACACUGAAUCCAGCCUAGGAAAGCCGCGGGCAGCGCUCGAAACUAAAAUCUACCAGCUUCAGGAAGAGAUGACCGAGUUACUGCGGCACAAGUCUGAGCACUCGCAGCAGUUAAUUGACGCCAAGAACAGCUUGGAAGAAAAAGACCGGCAACUUCACCAGAAGGAGACAAGGAUCCAGGAGUAUGAGGCAGAGUUGGGCACAUUGAAGCAGAGCCUGAACACUACCUUGAAGGAGCUGCAGGACAUGAAGGAUGCCAAUCAGCUCUUGCGGGACGAGCACGAAGCCCUGCAGCUGGCAUACAACAGCCUGGAGCGCAACUUCAGCACCCUCGAGCGGGAUCACCAGGACCUCAUCAAGCGCUGGAUGGCACUCAAGUCACGGGAUGCCGACAAGCUCAACGCUGAGAACGAGCGCAUGCUGCGGCUGAAGCAGGCUCAGGUGAAGCGUGACCUGGAGGAUGCCGCCAGGGAGCCGGUUGUGGUGCCCAAUGACAGGGUCACUCCUGGUCAGCCCAGCAGCACCUCCGCGGUCUGGGGCUUACGCCGCUGGUCACUUGGCGGUGAGGCCCGGUCCGCACAUGCUGGACCACCAGCAGGCUCUCGCCAGGCAAGGCAUGAUCUAGUGAGGAUGGCACCCCACUUGCCCUCUGGGGCUACAGAUAUGCCGGUCAGGUCGAAACAAGUCCGAAAAAUGAAGCGCACCCGGUCGGUGCCACCUCUGUGCAUGCAGUCAUUUGUGCCCAAUCGGCUGCUGCUGAAAUAUGAGGCACAUGAUGGCGAGGUGAAUGCGGUGCAGUUCUCGCCUGCUGGCCGUAUCCUGUGCACGGGCGGUGGUGACCGCAAGGUGAAGAUCUGGGAGUUCACCAGGGACCAGGCUCUGCUGAGGGGCACCUUGGGUGGGAGCAAUGCAACCAUCAUGUCUCUUGACAUGGACACUGAGGAGAACCUGGUCCUGGCGGCUUCCAACGACUUCUCCAGCAGGGUGUGGACACUUGGUGACCAGAGGCUGCGGCACACACUGACUGGCCACAGUCGCAAAGUUCUGGCGGCCAAGUUUCUGGGCGACACAGGGCGAGUGGCAUCGGGCAGCCACGAUCGCACCCUCAAGAUCUGGGACCUCCGCAGCCGAGCCUGCAUCCGCACCAUAUUUGCUGGCUCCUCCUGCAAUGACCUGGUGGCCAGUGACAGUGCGGGCACCACCAUCAUCAGCGGCCACUUCGACAAGCGCCUGCGUUUCUGGGACGCACGGGCAGAGAGCAGCGCCAACGAGAUUGUGCUGGGUGGCCUGAUCAGCUCACUGGACCUGUCUGCUGACCGCUGCCAGCUGCUGUGCUGCGUGCGCGACGACACCAUCAAGCUGCUGGACGUGCGCAUGAACCAGGUCCUCGUGAGCUUCCAGGAUGACAACUUCAAAGUAGCCUGUGAUUGGACACGGGCAAAGUUCAGUCCUGAUGCAAGCUACGUGGCUGUGGGCUCCCACGAUGGAACACUCUUCAUAUGGAACACACAGACAGCUAAGCUGGAGAAAAAACUGAAGGAGAUGAGUUCACCUAUCAUUGCCUGCUCAUGGAAUCCCAGCGGAGACUACAUCGCGAGCUCGGAUCGGGACAAGAGGAUCUGCGUCUGGUCCCAAGUCUGAGCCCACACCUCUGUGGCUUUCACAGAUUGGCAACCAAUGUCCUUCCUGCGUCAUGCUCUCGCUGAUUCUGCUGCUGCCUCAAUCAUUUGCCCCCAUAAAACUGAACCAGGUGUGUUUUUUUUUUUAAUAAAAAGGUUAUGUUCCUGGCAAUACUCACUACCCAGGCAACUCCA